GUUGUCCCUAGAGGGAUUGCAGGGAUGACUUCUGUGUCACAUGUAUGUCAUUAGGUGGCAGAGAGGAGGGUGGGAGAGCUUGCCCUGAGAUCCUAAUAGCAGGACAGCCGGUCCUGCCCCUCACCUG